CACCGCGGUUAUACGAGAGGCCCAAGUUGACAGACACCGGCGUAAAGCGUGGUUAAGGUAAACUAAAACUAAAGCCGAACACCUUCAGGGCAGUUAUACGCAUCCGAAGGCACGAAGCCCCACCACGAAAGUGGCUUUAUGAGCCCCUGACCCCACGAAAGCUAUGACA
rnacentral:rRNA from 1 species